CCAUUUUGUCUCGGCAGCGGUGGCCGUAGCUCCAUCGCAUUUUAUGUUUCUGGCGAGAAGGGAACGGAGUUUUCAUCAGGUAGAUUGGUUUUUGUGCAGCCGUCCUCCACCGUUUCCUCCAGGACAGCACCUAGUCGUGGCCGGAAGAGUCUCAGAGCUGUCAGAAAGAAUAAGACUGAUUUUAUGGGAAAAUUAAGCAAAUGCUCCAGUUUGAAAAACCUGGAUCUGCGAUCUGUUUGUGGUCUCUAUGAAUAAAGAAAUAAAAGCAAAUAGAAUCUUAUCAGAUAAGUGCUGUUGUAAGUCUAAAUAUAUUUUAUUCUUUGGAAUCUCUAAAGCAAAACUUUUAAACUUUUUUUUUUUUUUUUUUUUUUUUAGGUACCAGCAUCAAGAUGAUUUAUGGUAAUAAGAUAUAAAACCAAGGAAAAUAACCUAGAGUCUGAAAAAGACCAGAAUCGAGAUUUCCUGAUUCAUAUUUUAAUGUUUUGAAAUUUAUACUCCAGGCCGGGUGCAGUGGCUUGCGCCUGUAAUCCCAGCACUUUGGGAGGCCGAGGUGGCCGGAUUGCCUGAGGUCAGAAGUUCAAGACCAGCCUGACCGACAUGGUGAAACCCUGUCUCUACUUAAAAUACAAAAGAGCCGGGCAUGGAGGUCGUGCGCGCCUGUAACCCUAGCUACCCGGGAGGCUGAGGCGUAAGAAUCUCUUGAACCCAGGUGGCAGAGGUUGUAGUGAGCCGGAAUCACGCCACUGCACUCUAGCCUGGGCGACAGAGAGAGACUGUCUCAAAAAAAAAGGAAAAGAAAAAAAUUUAUACGCCAAAAAAGAUAUUCUGAGAUAACCUGUAGUUACCACUAACUUUGUGAUAAAAUUAUAAAAAUCCACAGCCAUCUAUGAAUCUAUAGGCAAACCUGACGUUU
rnacentral:antisense_RNA from 1 species